rnacentral:rRNA from 1 species
UACGGGGGGGGCAAGCGUUGUUCGGAAUUACUGGGCGUAAAGGGCUCGUAGGCGGCCAACUAAGUCGGACGUGAAAUCCCUCGGCUUAACCGGGGAACUGCGUCCGAUACUGGAUGGCUUGAGUAUGGGAGAGGGAUGCGGAAUUCCAGGUGUAGCGGUGAAAUGCGUAGAUAUCAGGAGGAACACCCGUGGCGAAGGCGGCUCUCUGGGACGGUACUGACGCUGAGGCGCGAAAGCGUGGGGAGCGAACAGG